UCCAACUUAUCGCUGGCAACUAACGAUAAGGGUUGCGCUCGUUGCUGGACUUAACCAAACACCUCACGGCACGAGCUGACGACAGCCAUGCAGCACCUAUACAGAGACCCUUUCGGGAAAUGCUAUCUCUAGCAUCGUCCUCUGCAUUUCGAGCCCAGGUAAGGUUCUUCGCGUUGCAUCGAAUUAAACCACAUGCUCCACCGCUUGUGCAGGCCCCCGUCAAUUUCUUUGAGUUUUAACCUUGCGGCCGUACUCCCCAGGCGGAUAACUUAAUGCGUUAGCUGCGCCACCAAAAGCCCAUGGCCCCUGACAGCUAGUUAUCAUCGUUUACGGCGUGGACUAC
rnacentral:misc_RNA from 1 species